rnacentral:piRNA from 1 species
UGGCAAACUUAAACCACUCAAGGGGCAGA